rnacentral:rRNA from 1 species
UACGUAGGGCGUAAGCGUUAUCCGGAAUUAUUGGGCGUAAAGAGCUCGUAGGCGGUUUGUCGCGUCUGCCGUGAAAGUCCGGGGCUCAACUCCGGAUCUGCGGUGGGUACGGGCAGACUGGAGUACUGCAGGGGAGACUGGAAUUCCUGGUGUAGCGGUGAAAUGCGUAGAUAUCAGGAGGAAUACCGGUGGCGAAAGCGACUCUCUGGGCCUUACCUGACGCUCAGGCGCGAAAGCUAGGGGAGCGAACAGG